AAAUCCCUCUACAAUACUGUGAGAGAACUUGUUGAAAAUGCUCUUGAUUCAGUAGAAUCCAUAUCUGAGCUUCCUGUAGUAGAAGUAACAAUGUGCAAUCACUGGAGCUAUAACAACUCCUCUUGAUGUCAUAAAAACUAGAUUAAUGGUUCAGGGGUCAGCAAACCAGUACAAAGGUAUAUUUGAUUGUGUUAGGACUAUCAUUAGAGAAGAAGGGACUCCUGCUCUUUUAA